GGGCUCACUUCGGCAGCCCAUAUUCUAAAAUUGAAAGAUACAGAGAUUAACAUGGCCCCUGUGCAAGCAUGACACCUCAAAUCUGUGAAGUGUUCCAUUUUAAA
ensembl:snRNA U6 U6 spliceosomal RNA